rnacentral:rRNA from 1 species
UACGAAGGGGGCUAGCGUUGCUCGGAAUCACUGGGCGUAAAGGGUGCGUAGGCGGGUCUUUUAAGUCAGGGGUGAAGUCCUGGAGCUCAACUCCAGAACUGCCUUUGAUACUGAGGAUCUUGAGUUCGGGAGAGGUGAGUGGAACUGCGAGUGUAGAGGUGAAAUUCGUAGAUAUUCGCAAGAACACCAGUGGCGAAGGCGGCUCACUGGCCCGGAACUGACGCUGAGACGCGAAAGCGUGGGGAGCAACAGG